CAGCCGCCGCGGUAAAACGGAGGGUGCAAGCGUUAUCCGGAUUUAUUGGGUUUAAAGGGUCCGUAGGCGGAUCUGUAAGUCAGUGGUGAAAUCUCACAGCUUAACUGUGAAACUGCCAUUGAUACUGCAGGUCUUGAGUAAAUUUGAAGUGGCUGGAAUAAGUAGUGUAGCGGUGAAAUGCAUAGAUAUUACUUAGAACACCAAUUGCGAAGGCAGGUCACUAAGAUUUAACUGACGCUGAUGGACGAAAGCGUGGGGAGCGAACAGGAUUAGAUACCCCUGUAGUCCCUGUCUCUUAUAC
rnacentral:rRNA from 1 species